rnacentral:rRNA from 1 species
UACAGAGGUCUCAAGCGUUGUUCGGAUUCAUUGGGCGUAAAGGGUGCGUAGGCGGCGCGGUAAGUCGGGGUGUGAAAUCUCGGAGCUUAACUCCGAAACUGCAUUCGAUACUGCCGUGCUUGAGGACUGGAGAGGAGACUGGAAUUCAUGGUGUAGCAGUGAAAUGCGUAGAGAUCAUGAGGAAGACCAGUGGCGAAGGCGGGUCUCUGGACAGUUCCUGACACUGAGACACGAAGGCCAGGGGAGCAAACGGG